rnacentral:lncRNA from 1 species
UUUUAAUAGGAACUUUUGAUGAGAAACUGGUCAGACAUGCCGAGAGGGGCUGAAAGCCUGUCAAGGUCACUGCCAAGGACAAGGGAGUCAAUUAGUAUGCAGAUCAGAGCCAAGGAGUUCAAAGGCAGUCAGCUCAGUGAAAGUGAGGUCAAUCUGACCACACUCUUCCUAAAGGAUCCUCUUCUGAACCAUCUACUUGAGUACACGUCUCCUGACAAAUCAAUGGCAGAAUUGAGAGUUUGGUCUGAGAAUCGUCAGGAUUGGACCUUAGCACUAGCAACCUCCAGCAGACUGCAGUGGCUUAGCCUUUAAUACACUUCCACCCCUGUGUGUUAUACAACCAUAAUACUGAACACACGAGGCAGACAGGUGCCCUGAGGCAUUCUCCGUAAAAACUUUCAUAUCACAACGGAACUGAACGUACCAUUAUAACACCACGUCUCCUCUUCUUCACGGUAAGAAUU